CAGCACCUCAAGUGGUCAGGAUGAUUAUUGGGCCUAAAGCAUCCGUAGCCGGCUCCGUAAGUUUUCGGUUAAAUCUGUAUGCUCAACAUACAGGCUGCCGGGAAUACUGCAGAGCUAGGGAGUGGGAGAGGUAGACGGUACUCGGUAGGAAGGGGUAAAAUCCUUUGAUCUAUUGAUGACCACCUGUGGCGAAGGCGGUCUACCAGAACACGUCCGACGGUGAGGGAUGAAAGCUGGGGGAGCAAACCGGAUUAGAUACCCGAGUAGUC
rnacentral:rRNA from 1 species